GACGGACGUAGCUAGCGUUGUUCGGAAGCACUGGGCGUAAAGGGGGCGUAGGCGGCACCGCAAGUCAUGGGUGAAAGCCCGGGGCUCAACCCCGGAGGUGCCCGUGGGACUGCGGCGCUCGAGGCCGAGAGAGGGGGGUGGAAUACCCAGUGUAGAGGUGAAAUUCGUAGAUAUUGGGUGGAACACAGGUGGCGAAAGCGGCCCUCUGGCUCGGGCCUGACGCUGAGGCACGAAAGCGUGGGGAGCAAACAGG
rnacentral:rRNA from 1 species